rnacentral:rRNA from 1 species
CACAUGGCUCAGAUUGAACGCUGGCGGCAUGCUUUACACAUGCAAGUCGAACGGCAGCACGGGGUAACCUGGUGGCGAGUGGCGAACGGGUGAGUAAUAUAUCGGAACAUGUCCGGAAGUGGGGGAUAACGUAGCGAAAGUUACGCUAAUACCGCAUAUGCCCUAAGGGGGAAAGGGGGGGAUCGCAAGACCUCUCGCUUUCGGAGUGGCCGAUAUCAGAUUAGCUAGUUGGUGGGGUAAAGGCCUACCAAGGCAACGAUCUGUAGCUGGUCUGAGAGGACGACCAGCCACACUGGGACUGAGACACGGCCCAGACUCCUACGGGAGGCAGCAGUGGGGAAUUUUGCACAAUGGGGGAAACCCUGAUGCAGCAAACGCCGCGUGGAACGAAUGAAAGGCUUCGGGUACGUGAGAGUACUUUACAGAAAGGGAAAAUUCGGAACGGGUAACGCUGGAUUAAGUCCGGCUAAACUAACGUGC